rnacentral:rRNA from 1 species
CUACGGGGGGCUGCAGUGGGGAAUAUUGGACAAUGGGCGCAAGCCUGAUCCAGCAAUGCCGCGUGAGUGAAGACGGCCUUAGGGUUGUAAAACUCUUUCGCUAGGGAAGAUAAUGACUGUACCUAGUAAAGAAGUCCCGGCUAACUCCGUGCCAGCAGCCGCGGUAAUACGGAGGGGACUAGCGUUGUUCGGAAUUACUGGGCGUAAAGAGUUCGUAGGCGGACUGACAAGUUAGAGGUGAAAUCCCAGGGCUCAACCCUGGAACUGCCUUUAAAACUGUCAGUCUAGAGACCGGAAGAGGUUAGGGGAAUACCUAGUGUAGAGGUGAAAUUCGUAGAUAUUAGGUGGAACACCAGUGGCGAAGGCGCCUAACUGGUCCGGUACUGACGCUGAGGAACGAAAGCGUGGGGAGCAAACAGGAUUAGAUACCCCGGUAGUC